AGUGAACGCUGGCGGUAGGCCUAACACAUGCAAGUCGAACGGCAGCACAGUAAGAGCUUGCUCUUACGGGUGGCGAGUGGCGGACGGGUGAGGAAUACAUCGGAAUCUACUUUUUCGUGGGGGAUAACGUAGGGAAACUUACGCUAAUACCGCAUACGACCUACGGGUGAAAGCAGGGGAUCUUCGGACCUUGCGCGAUUGAAUGAGCCGAUGUCGGAUUAGCUAGUUGGCGGGGUAAAGGCCCACCAAGGCGACGAUCCGUAGCUGGUCUGAGAGGAUGAUCCGCCACACUGGAACUUAGACACGGUCCAGACUCCUACGGGAGGCAGCAGUGGGGAAUAUUGGACAAUGGGCGCAAGCCUGAUCCAGCCAUACCGCGUGGGUGAAGAAGGCCUUCGGGUUGUAAAGCCCUUUUGUUGGGAAAGAAAAGCAGCAGGUUAAUACCCCGCUGUUCUGACGGUACCCAAAGAAUAAGCACCGGCUAACUUCGUG
rnacentral:rRNA from 1 species